GACGAACGCUGGCGGCGUGCUUAACACAUGCCAGUCGAACGGACAGGCCCUGCUUUUGUGGGGUGCUCGAGUGGCGAACGGGUGAGUAACACGUGAGUAACCUGCCCUUGACUUUGGGAUAACUUCAGGAAACUGGGGCUAAUACCGGAUAGGAGCUCCUGCUGCAUGGUGGGGGUUGGAAAGUUUCGGCGGUUGGGGAUGGACUCGCGGCUUAUCAGCUUGUUGGUGGGGUAGUGGCUUACCAAGGUUUUGACGGGUAGCCGGCCUGGGAGGCUGACCGGCCACAUUGGGCCUGAGAUACGGCCCAGACUCCUACGGGAGGCAGCAGUGGGGAAUAUUGCACAAUGGGCGGAAGCCUGAUGCAGCAACGCCGCGUGCGGGAUAACGGCCUUCGGGUUGUAAACCGCUUUCGCCUGUGACGAAGCGUGAGUGACGGUAAUGGGUAAAGAAGCACCGGCUAACUACGUG
rnacentral:rRNA from 1 species